AACGUCCUUGGAAUGUGGUGAACU
rnacentral:siRNA from 1 species